rnacentral:lncRNA from 10 species
GUACCUGUGACAAUGCCUGGUACAGAAUAAAUGCUCAAUAAUAUAUGUUGAAUGAUGAAUGAGUGAGUGAACGAAUGAACGAACAAACACCUAUUUUAAGGCAUUUAUUAUAAUACUCCAGGCUGAUUUUUUUGUUUCUUCCUUACUAGCCUAUGAGCACCUUAUAUCUCUUGAAUAAACUUCAGGACUAGAAUAUACCCAGGACACCUCUUCUGCACCACCUAAUUAAUAUCCUGUUAGCUUCUCCAUCUUAGAGGGCUUGGAAUGCACGUUCCUGUCCUACUCAUUGUAACAACCCUCUACUCAACUGACCAACUUCAAGCAGGCACAGUAUGACAGUGCCUCCCUCGUACCUGAGUUGGCAUCUAUUGCCCAGGAGAUCGUUUGCUGACUCUGAGGUGAGACCCACUGGACAGCUGGACACUUACACCUGAGCUGCUCAGAAGCAUCAGAGAAAUUGACCCUGUGUGACGCACUCUGACCAAUGGACACCAGUGGAUAAAUUCUUCUCUCUUCCUCCCUCAGAGAAACUUUCCUGAGAAACAGGCAUUUUUAGCAUGAGAUCCUGUGAAAUCUAGCAGCUAGUCCUGCUUCAUGCCAGCUUAGUAACACACCCUCAUGCUGGUUCUCCCUCCUCCCACACCUUACUUCCUUUCUCCUUACUCCCACUCUCUGGGAUUGCCCACCUAACCAACUAAUAACCCGUAAAGUUUGUCCUCAAGCCUUGCUUUCUGGGGAAUCCAGAUUUUGGAUUUUAUAAAUGUUAAAGGCCUCACCCAGUAUAAGAUAAGUAAAUCCGAAUAGUCCUAUGACUAUUAGAGAAAUUGAAUCCACAAUUUGAAAGCUUCUAGAACAGAACUCUUUGGGCCAAUUCACUGGAGAAUUCUACCAAAAGUUCUAAAAAGGAUUGGCAUCCGUUUUACACAAUCUCUUCCAGAAACUAGAAGAGGAAAAAGCACUUCUCAAUUCAUUUUAUGAAACCAGUAUUACCGAAAUAUCCCAACCUGUAUACAGUAAAGAAAAAAGCUAAAAGUUAAAAAUAGAGACUAAUAUUUUU